rnacentral:rRNA from 1 species
UUAGAGGAAGUAAAAGUCGUAACAAGGUUUCCGUAGGUGAACCUGCGGAAGGAUCAUUACCGAAUUGUCAACAAGAGUUGUUGCUGGUCCCUGUAUGGGGGCAUGUGCACGCUCUGUUUACACAUCCACUCACACCUGUGCACCCUCUGUAGUUCUAUGGCCUGGGUGGGCUCCCGCCCUCCUGCUGUGGUUCUACGUCUUUACACACACACUACAAUGAAGUCUCAUGGAAUGUAUGUCGCGUUUAACGCAAUGAAAUACAACUUUCAGCAACGGAUCUCUUGGCUCUCGCAUCGAUGAAGAACGCAGCGAAAUGCGAUAAGUAAUGUGAAUUGCAGAAUUCAGUGAAUCAUCGAAUCUUUGAACGCACCUUGCGCCCUUUGGCUAUUCCGAAGGGCAUGCCUGUUUGAGUAUCAUGAACACCUCAACUCUCAUGGCUUGCCAUGAUGAGCUUGGACUUUGGGGGUCUUGUUGGCCUGUGAGCCAGCUCCUCUUAAAUGAAUUAGCUUGCCGGUGUUUGGUGGCGUCACAGGUGUGAUAACUAUCUACGCUUGUGGUUUCCCACCAGGUAACCUUCAGCAAUGGAGGUUCACUGGAGCUUAUAAAUUUCUCUCCUCAGCGAGGACAGAUUUUGACCAUUUGAUCUCAAAUCAGGUAGGACUACCCGCUGAACUUAAGCAUAUCAAUAAGCCGGGA